AUUGAACGCUGGCGGUAUGCUUAACACAUGCAAGUCGAACGGCAGCACGGACUUCGGUCUGGUGGCGAGUGGCGAACGGGUGAGUAAUGUAUCGGAACGUACCUUUCAGUGGGGGAUAACGUAGCGAAAGUUACGCUAAUACCGCAUAUUCUGUGAGCAGGAAAGCAGGGGAUCGCAAGACCUUGCGCUGAUUGAGCGGCCGAUAUCAGAUUAGCUAGUUGGUGAGGUAAAGGCUCACCAAGGCGACGAUCUGUAGCGGGUCUGAGAGGAUGAUCCGCCACACUGGAACUGAGACGCGGUCCAGACUCCUACGGGAGGCAGCAGUGGGGAAUUUUGGACAAUGGGGGCAACCCUGAUCCAGCCAUGCCGCGUGAGUGAAGAAGGCCUUCGGGUUGUAAAGCUCUUUCGGCCGGGAAGAAAUCGUACCAGCUAAUACCUGGUGCGGAUGACGGUACCGGCAUAAGAAGCACCGGCUAACUACGUGCCAGCCGCCGCAGUAAGAC
rnacentral:rRNA from 1 species